CUGAGAGCUUGCUGGCAACAUAAAAAAGGUCUGCAUAGAGACAGACCCACGGGGAAGCCAGGCCUGAGGCCGAGUCCAUUGUCAUGACAGGAAGCCAUCACUGCGAUGGUCUGCCAUCUGCCCCUGCUCCCUGGAAACCAGUGCUCACCUCUUGCAGCCCACCGAGAACACGGACUCCUACCCUGCCAGACAGGUCCUCGUUGGAACCCUGCCAAUCCCGGAUUUAGCUCUUGGAGUUCCUUUGUUCGCUUCCAAGCUGCAAUAAACCUUUAUUCACAAACUCA